rnacentral:lncRNA from 1 species
UUUAUUUAUACAUGGAUUGUACAAAACUAACUAAACUAAGACAUCAAGGGCGCAAGGAUGUGGAGCUUUGGCAGGAUGUGGAACUCAAGCUCAGUAGCAGGAUCAGUUUUGCCGCACCGCAAAAGGGGGCCAUUCAAGCGCCGAAACACUGCAAAACCAACGCACAUCGAAGCUCACACGCCAAGACAACAAGCAUGCAGUCUUCCAGUGUACAGCUUUUGUUGCUAAUAUGCAUAACAAUACAAGUGUAUAUUACUAAUGUACAAGUUGAGGUCUACACACUCCUGGGAUACAUCUCACAUCAUCCUCUCACGUCGUAGUGUGAGACACACAUGGAAUACAGUAUCAGUAUAGAAAAUGCACUUAUCGUGAUUGUAACAGGCUCCAGCGUGGGACAAUCACUGGGUUGCGGCGCCAGAACCUGCAGAAAAAGCAUGAAUCUUACGCACCGUCUGCUGCUACAGUGGAAAGUAGCAAAAAGCUGUGGGGCUUCCAAGGUGAGGUCGGCGUCUGCGUCGCCGAGCUGCUUGGGUGGGUAUUUG